rnacentral:rRNA from 1 species
AUUGAACGCUAGCGGGAUGCCUUACACAUGCAAGUCGAACGGAGUGGCGAACGGGUGAGUAAUGUAUCUGAACGUGCCCAGUCGCGGGGGAUAACUACCCGCAAGCGUAGCUAAUACCGCAUACUAUUGAAGCGGCCAAUAUCGGAAUAGCGAGUUGGUGUGUUAACGGCUCACCAAGGCGACGAUCCGUAGCUGGUUUGAGAGGACGACCAGCCAGACUGGGAAUGAGACACGGCCCAGACUCCUACGGGAGGCAGCAGUGGGGAAGUUUGGAAAAGGGGGGAAACACUGAUCCAGCCAUCCCGCGUGUGGGAUGAAGGCCUUCGGGUUGUAAAGCACUUUUGGCAGGAAAGCGGUACCUGCAGAAUAAGCACCGGCUAACUACGUGCCAGCAGCCGCGGUAAUAC